rnacentral:rRNA from 1 species
AUUCGAUGCAACGCGAAGAACCUUACCUACUCUUGACAUCCAGAGAAGCCAGUGGAGACACAGGUGUGCCUUCGGGAGCUCUGAGACAGGUGCUGCAUGGCUGUCGUCAGCUCGUGUUGUGAAAUGUUGGGUUAAGUCCCGCAACGAGCGCAACCCUUAUCCUUGUUUGCCAGCGAGUAAUGUCGGGAACUCCAGGGAGACUGCCGGUGAUAAACCGGAGGAAGGUGGGGACGACGUCAAGUCAUCAUGGCCCUUACGAGUAGGGCUACACACGUGCUACAAUGGCGCAUACAGAGGGCAGCAAGCUAGCGAUAGUGAGCGAAUCCCAAAAAGUGCGUCGUAGUCCGGAUUGGAGUCUGCAACUCGACUCCAUGAAGUCGGAAUCGCUAGUAAUCGUGAAUCAGAAUGUCACGGUGAAUACGUUCCCGGGCCUUGUACACACCGCCCGUCACACCAUGGGAGUGGGCUGCAAAAGAAGUGGGUAGUUUAACCUUUCGGGGAGGACGCUCACCACUUUGUGGUUCAUGACUGGGGUGAAGUCGUAACAAGGUAGCCCUAGGGGAACCUGGGGCUGGAUCACCUCCUUA